UAGGGAAUAUUGCACAAUGGGGGAAACCCUGAUGCAGCGACGCCGCGUGAGUGAUGAAGGCCUUCGGGUCGUAAAGCUCUGUUGAACGGGAAGAAACAAAUGACGGUACCGUUUAAGAAAGGAUCGGCUAACUUCGUGCCAGCAGCCGCGGUAAUACGAGGGAUCCUAGCGUUGUUCGGAAUCAUUGGGCGUAAAGAGUAUGUAGGCGGCCUAGUAAGUCAGUUGUGAAAGCCCCGGGCUCAACCCGGGAAGUGCAAUUGAUACUGCUUGGCUUGAAUGUGGAAGAGGGCAGUAGAAUUCCAGGUGUAGUGGUGAAAUACGUAGAUAUCUGGAGGAAUACCGGUGGCGAAGGCGGCUGCCUGGUCCUACAUUGACGCUGAGAUACGAAAGCGUGGGGAGCAAACAGGAUUAGAUACCCUGGUAGUCCCUGAGCGGGCUGGCAAGGCGCAU
rnacentral:rRNA from 1 species